rnacentral:rRNA from 1 species
ACGGGUGAGUAACGCGUGGGAAUCUACCCAUCUCUACGGAAUAACGCAUGGAAACGUGUGCUAAUACCGUAUACGUCCUUCGGGAGAAAGAUCUAUCGGAGAUGGAUGAGCCCGCGUUGGAUUAGCUAGUUGGUGGGGUAAAGGCCUACCAAGGCGACGAUCCAUAGCUGGUCUGAGAGGAUGAUCAGCCACACUGGGACUGAGACACGGCCCAGACUCCUACGGGAGGCAGCAGUGGGGAAUAUUGGACAAUGGGCGCAAGCUUGAUCCAGCCAUGCCGCGUGAGUGAUGAAGGCCCUAGGGUUGUAAAGCUCUUUCACCGGUGAAGAUAAUGACGGUAACCGGAGAAGAAGCCCCGGCUAACUUCGUGCCAGCAGCCGCGGUAAUACGAAGGGGGCUAGCGUUGUUCGGAUUUACUGGGCGUAAAGCGCACGUAGGCGGACUAUUAAGUCAGGGGUGAAAUCCCGGGGCUCAACCCCGGAACUGCCUUUGAUACUGGUAGUCUUGAGUUCGAGAGAGGUGAGUGGAAUUCCGAGUGUAGAGGUGAAAUCCGUAGA